AAGACUGCGGGUCUGCGGUUUUACUCAUCAUGUCCAAUACUACUAGGUAAGAAGAAAGUAAAAGAAUCAAGUUGAUAUGACUAACUUUAUUUCAUUAUGAUGAUUACACUUUUCUUAUCACUGCAAAAGAAUCUAGCUCAAAUUCCAAUGCUCUAACUUUGCUAUCAUGAGAAUUGAAUACCUUUGAGCACGACCAUGGUUGAAGUUCUAUAAAAUUAAUGUGCAAAAGGCCAAUCUCCAAUAUAACAUCUAUCAAGUGUCUAGGGUCAUAUCACCAAACACCAAGAGGUAUGAUAUAAAGAGUCUAUAAUGUGGUUUUGAAACUACUUCAACGUGACGAUGCUUCUAUUGAAUUCCUUGAAUUAAUAGUCUUUGUCUUCUUGAUGGUAUUACGUAAAUUAUCUUGGACGGAAAAUGGCUAAGUUUAGGGAACUGUGAGAGAUGGAAAAAGAAAAUUAAAGCAUCUUGACAUGUUUUGGAAGAGGUAAUUGUACCGACUUUUGGCAGAUGAUAUUCAGAAAUUCUGAACCAUCUUAGAGGAUUCCUAAGAAAAGGAAGAUUUAUUCAGUGAAUGAAGGAAAUGCUAAGAACUGGGAUGGUCCCACAUCCAAAUUGUCAGGUGUAUAUUCCGUGAUCUGAGCUUUAGAAGAGGAAGCAUUAACCGCGGUUGAUACUGGAAUAAGUUCUACUCCAAGAGUUCUACUGAUCUUAUUGUCUCCACCUACAACAUAGUCAACUAUCAGCAUGAAUACGUGCUUCAUAGCUUCCUAUUAAAAAAAAUUAACAGCUGAUCACCUACGCCGAAAGCAGUAGUAGCAAAUGCAUUUGCUCAUAGAAUAGAUCGACACAAAGCUUAUUUAAAGCUUUAAUUCAUUGACUCAUAUGUUGAUUUAGAUCUUGAGUCAAAUUUACAUUGUGGCAUUAAAGUUGUACUAAUUUCAAGGGAGUGAUAUAUCAAUGCAA